rnacentral:rRNA from 1 species
UUAUUAAUCGGGAUAGGACUUGGCAGUGGGGCAGGAGUUAUUCUUUUUAUUCUCGCUGUAUUCUUCAUGAUGCAAAAGAUUAAACAUCAGAGGGCCAAAAAGUUGAGACAUAAAUGUUUUGAGCAAAAUCGUGGACAAUUAUUGCAACAACUGGUAGCUCAAAGAGCUGAUAUUGCAGAGAGAAUGAUCAUAACAAUGGAAGAGCUCGAGAAGGCAACAAACAAUUUUGAUAAAUCCCGAGAACUUGGUGGGGGAGGGCAUGGUACUGUUUACAAAGGGAUUUUAUCAGAUCUACAUGUCGUAGCCAUCAAGAAACCAAAUGUGGUGGUUCAGAAAGAGAUUGAUGAGUUUAUCAACGAGGUUGCUAUCUUGUCACAAGUCAACCAUAAUGUGGUAAAACUCUAUGGUUGUUGUCUUGAAACGGAAGUUCCAAUGUUGGGAAAUAGGCUACGUAUAGCAGUUGAAACAGCCAAAUCUCUUGCUUAUCUUCACUCGUCUGUUUCGAUACCUAUAAUCCAUAGAGAUAUCAAGUCCGUUAAUAUACUUUUGGAUGAUACUCUAACAGCAAAGGUAGCAGACUUUGGAGCUUCAAGGUACAUUCCAGUGGAGCAAUCAGGGGUAACAACAAUGGUGCAAGGUACAGUAGGAUAUUUAGAUCCUAUGUACUUCUACACAUCGCGUCUCACAGAUAAGAGUGACGUUUAUAGCUUCGGUGUCAUUCUUGUGGAACUAUUGACUCGAAAGAAGCCCUUCUCAUACAUGUCUUCUGAAGGUGAUAGUCUUGUUGCAAAUUUUGUUACCCUGCUUGCGGAAUGCAGUUUAUUGUAGAUAUUAGAUCCACGAGUGAUCGAAGAAGGCGGGAUAAAAGUUGAAGAAGUUGCCAAGCUUGCUGUAACAUGUGUGAAAUUAAACGGAGAGGAUCGUCCAACCAUGAGGCUAGUGGAAAUGACACUAGAUGGCCUUCAAACAUCCAUGGAUCACGUUGCAGAUGGUCAAGUGGUCGGGGAAUUUGAGAAGGGUGACAUUGGAAUAAAUCCACCAUCAAUAAAUAGUGUCGAAAGAAACAAUGAUGAUUCAACAAGACAAUACAGCUUAGAAGAAGAGUUUAUGUUAUCCGCAAGGUACCCUCGAUAG